UACGAAGGGGGCUAGCGUUGCUCGGAAUUAUUGGGCGUAAAGGGCGCGUAGGCGGUUUGACAAGUCUGAUGUGAAAUCUCUGGGCUCAACCCAGAGUCUGCAUUAGAAACUGUCGGGCUUGAGUAUGGGAGAGGUGAGUGGAAUUUCCGGUGUAGCGGUGAAAUGCGUAGAUAUCGGAAGGAACACCUGUGGCGAAAGCGGCUCACUGGACCAUAACUGACGCUGAGGCGCGAAAGCUAGGGGAGCAAACAGG
rnacentral:rRNA from 1 species